rnacentral:lncRNA from 1 species
AAUGGCUCCAGUUUCUGCCACUCCUUUCCUCUCCACACUCUACACAAGGGUUCGCCUGGCAACACCUGAGGAUGUCCCUCACAUCCACAAGCUCAUCUACAAAAUGGCUGAUUACUAUCACCUUGCUGACACCUUUGAAGCCACUGAAUCUUCCCUUUCCGCCCAUCUUUUCAAAUCACCUCCUUUCCAAUCUUUUACCACCUUUCUUGCUGAGGUUUCCACUAAACCUCUACCCAGAAUUGAGUCCCCUCAUUUCACGCCCGUUGAGCGCGUUGUCCAGAUUGAUCGUCCUGUAAUCGACCCGGACGCUGAGACCUUCAAGAGUACAAGCGGUGGUGAUGCUGUUGUCGUUGGGUUUACUCUGAUUUUCCCCAACUUCUCGACGUUCAUGGGAAAACCAGGGUUCCAUUUGGAGGAUUUGUUCAUCAGAGAGGGUCACAGAGGGUUUGGAAUGGGGAAGUUGCUGCUCUCCGCGGUGGCUUCUCAGACGGUGAAAAUGGGGUAUGGGAGAGUGGAGUGGACGGUGAUCGACUGGAAUGUGAGAUCUCAUAAGUUCUAUGAGCGAUUAGGUGCUAAAGUUUUGCCUGACUGGAGGAUUUGCAGAUUGAGCGAGGAGAAUCUUGAAGCUUAUGGUGAUGCCAAAUGUCAUUUUAAUU